UUCUCUCUUUGAAGACUCUUCACUAAACAGCAAGUGGGUAGCAGAUAUUCAAAAGAAGGAGAAGGAAAAGUAAAAAGGCGAAGAAGACGAGGAAGCUUUCAAUAUCAUAUUCACGGCGGCGGGUGGCUGUGAAUUUUGGAGAAGAGAUGGGAGGGAGGAAAGAAGAACGCACGGGCCCCGUGGCUGCUUUGACCAGAUAGUGCCAAUCUGGUUUGAAGCUGUACAAUGUGAGAAGGGUUAACCGUAAUUUAACCCCUUGAGUUAUAUCUAAUUCCCACUUCACCCCUUAACCUUUAUUCCGUAUCACUUAACUCCUUAGGGACAAAAAUAGCUUCUAUUAUAUAAUUUUUUUCCUUUUUUAUCCCGUUUGUCUUUUUCAUUUUAAAUUAGUUUUAUUUUUGUAAAUUUUUGUUUCUAAGACAAUAUUCUGUAAUAGAAAAUAAGAAUGUCCAUUCUCUAAUUUAUAUAAUUAAAAAACUAUAUAUAUAUAUUUUUUAAAAGUCAAAUUCAUUUAUUUUCCAAUUUAAGAAACCAAGAAAAAAUUUUAUUAUAUUUCCUUGUAAUUACACUAUUCACAGUCAAUUACUCAUUUUUACAAUCACAUAUUCACAUGUCAAUACUAAACAUUUUAUUUGUUAUUUUUCCUAUAAUGAAAUUUUGGUUGGUAAGAUUUUUUUCUAACCAUUUUUUAAAAUUAAUCAAUUGUUAGUGUAUUCCGUAAUAUAUAUAUAUAUAUAUAUAUAUAUAUAUAUAUAUAUACACACACACUCAUCUCAAUUCUUAUGCAAAACUUUACCACCACCAAUUAGAGUGGUCAAAAUUAAAUCAUGGGUUAAAGUUCAAUAAUUUAAGGAAUUAAAAAUUUUGAAAAUAAAAGCUUAGUAUAAUAGAGGAGUAUUUUUGUCUUUAAGGGGAUUAAGUAAUAAAGAUUAGAGGUAAAAUUGAAAAUUCCGAUAUACUUAAGGGGAUAAAUUGUCAUUAACCCAAGUAAAAAUGAUAAAGAGAUAAUUUCAAAAAACCUUUCUCUGAUGUAUCUUUUAGAACCAUUGAAUUUUAAAAAAUGUCAUUUAUCUCCCCUACUUUGGAUAUUUUUUCAACUUUUGCAACAAGAUUCAAAAAAUAAUGUUAAAAAAACUCAUUUUAGAAGAGAGAGGAUAAUCUGAUUCUAAAUUUACAUUUUUUUUGUGGACACUUAAUUGUCAUAACAUAUUAAUUUCAUUUCUUAAUUUUUGUAAAUUUGGUUAAUAUGGUUCAUUAAUUGAAAUUCAAAAGUUAAUAGCAGGACCCUUUAAUAGCUUUUUAUAUCAUUGGUUUGGAAAAGAAAUAUUAAGAUAUUUAAAUUAUAAAUAGUUUACAAUACUUGUAAAAAUAACUUGAAAUAUUUUAUAAUAAUGAAAAUAACUUUUGUUACCAACUUGAAAACGUCACAAACUGUAAGGCCCGAAAAUAACUUAAGAGGGGGUGAAUUAGGUUGAUUAUAAAACUAAUCAAGUUAUGGGCACUUUUUGUUCAAUAUGAAAUUUACCCUCUUUUCUAAGUGAUCAUACAAUGAAUCAAUCAAUGAAUGAACAAAAUGUGAUGACCCAAAAUUUUUAUUAUUUUAAUUUUAUUUCACUGGUUUAUUUAAUUAUUUAUUCACCCGUUUAUCCCAAAUAAUUUAUUUCAUCCGUUUUAAGUCCAUUUGUAUGCAAAAAUGUCCCUUUUAUAAUUUUAAAACGUUUCGUUAGCAAAUUUAAUUUUUCUACGACUCAUUUAGCGAGAAAUAAUGAGUACACAUUUUUCGAGGUUAUAUUCGAUCUAAGAGUACAUUAAUCUUGGAAAAUUAAGAAUGAUUAAUAGUAGACUAAGAAAAGUUAAUUGAGGGAUUAGAUGUGAGUUAGUUAAAAUUAAACUUUUACUGCGCGCGCGUCAAUAGUUUCCCGAAAGUCGCUCCGGUACGACUAAUUAGAGAUUUGAGGAUUUAACAUUAGACUACUAAGGGUGAGUAAUUACCAUAUUAAAGGAGUUACAUUGGAGGUUUAGUACUCAAGUGAAUCAAAUUCGAGAGAAAGUGGUAGUACAAAACACCAUUUGGGCACUAUUAAGAGUUGACGUUUUGCACCAAACUUAAAGCUACUAUUUCAUUCUUUCCCUCCAACUUUCAUCACACAAACAAACCCUCAUCUCUCUCUCCUCACUCCCUCAUUUUCGGCCAGACCAACAAGAAAGAAAAAGGGAAGGAAAAACUUCAUUUGUUUAGCUUGAUUUCACUCACCAAACCUCCACCAAAUCGUAAAUAACUUGGAGUAACACUUCAUCUAGGAGUAAGGAGCAAUCUUGAGGACUUUUCCUGGAGAGUUUCGGCUAAAAAUUUCUGGUUUCAUCUUAAGUUUUGAAGGUAUAAACACCUCCACCAAAGCUUUUACUUUCUUGUUUCAUUUCUUGGUUUUGAAGCUUGUAGCUUCCUUAUUGUUGUUGUUGCUUGGAUUUGGUUGGUUGAAGUGGGCUCUAUAAACUCCCACCUUAGUUAUAUGAGGGCUGCCAUGAUGUUUAUGUGUGUGUUAGUGUGUUUGUGAUGAGUUUUAAUGGAAGAACUAGAAGAGGAAAAAGAAAGAGAGAAAACCGUGAGAGGAAGCAAGAUGGCCGAAUCUGCCCUGUUGUUGUUCUUGCUUGAAUUUUGAUUUUUUGUUGGUUUUUUGGCUGUGAAAUUGGUUGAUAUAUGUUGUAUAUUGUGUGUUGAAAGUGUCUACCAAAAAUCAUUUUAUUUGGUUGAGCAAAACUAGAAUUUUCGAAACUGCAAAAAAUCUGGAAAUGGUCAUCCGAAGGCCUGAACAGUGUAUCUUUGAUUGAACAUAACUCUUUGUACAAAAGUCAAAAUCGAGUGUCAUUUGUGGCAUUUGAAACUAGACAUCUGUAGUUUUCUAACGGUAUAAAAAUCACUGUCUAGUUCGUUUUGUGUGAACUGCAAUGAACUGAUAAAGUCGGCUGUUCUGUUCAGCCUGUUCAUUCGAAUGGAAAUGAGAAGCUGUAACUUAUGGCUUGAAUUUGAACUACUUUUGAACUGAUUUUGGAAAUGAUUUCUUCUGAUGAAAUGUGGAAUUUUGAACCUAGUUUUCAACGCCACCAACAUUCUCAAUUUCAAGUUGUAUUGAGUGAGAUAUGGUUCAAUUUCCAAACCGUGGCAAAACUGGAAAACUGGAAAACUUUUCCUUCUUGCUGGCCGACUGGUCUAGUUUGUUGUGGGAGGUUUUAUUUCGAAAAUUUUGAUGUCAAUUACCCACCAAUUGCUUAUCAAAUUUUUAUGGAACCUUGGUUUAAAAAAUGAAGUGGAUUGGGACUGAUUUCAUGGUACUAAGCUUUUGGAAAGAAAGAAAAUGGUGAGAUGGCAGAUUUGCUUUGGGAAUUUCACGAACUUUGAUUAUUUUGUUAACUGCCUUCCCACAUGAGUUUUCACAUGAAAUUUUGGUAGAGAUAUAGUUAACAUAUGGAAGAUUUAGUGUACCAAAUUUGGUGUAUUUUCAAUGCCAUUUCAAUGGCUAAAUGAUACUUCAAAGAUAGCUUUUCAAAUCUGGAAAAUGACUGAACAGUUAGCAAAAUGUGACCAACUUUGAACUGAUGUAUCUCGAUGCUCGAAACUCCGAAUUUAGUUUUGUUUGUUGUGUUUGAAACUUUGUUUAGAACUCUUAUUGUGUUACAAAUUUCAGAGGCUAGUUCACUUUCUGUGAAUUUUACCGAAUUUCCAAAGUUUGCCAAAAAACAUGACCGAAACUGUCUUGUAAGCUCAAGUCAGCCACUUUGAGAUGAAAUUUGAAUGUCUUCCGUUUAGAAUCUUAGAAAAGUGUUUUCUAGGAACUUUUAGUACUCUAAACCAAGAUUCCAACAGUAUAAAGUUUUCCAUUUUUGGACUUACGAAACUCUAGAUACGAUUUUUCAAAAUAAUGUCCCUCUAGAAUGGAAAAUUUCUGUUUUCAACCAAAUUACUCCUUUAAGAACUUUCCACCAUCCUUUGUGAUUGUUGGACUGUUUUAAGUUUUUUUUCAUGGUUUAAUACAAGGUCUCUUUGGAACUUUGAACUUUCAUUUCAAAUCUUGGUUUCCGAAGGAUAAACCUCUCUUGAUGCAUUUACUUGGUCAUAUAACUCCCUUGGUUAAUGGUACUUCUCUUCAUAUUUAAAUUAGGGACUUCAUGAUACGUAUCUCGUUGGUGACGAAGAUUCGCGACCCAAGAUCGCUUGUUGGAUUUGUGAUUGACGACCAAGGAAGGUAGCAGUGGAAACCCUACGACCCCUCUAAUCCCCGUGACUACGAACUUAUUGAUAUUAUCUCAACCCGUAAUCAAACGAAUUAGUGAACCUCAGGAAAGUGUAGAAGGCGCCACAACUCAAGUGUGAUUCUUGAAGUGAUAAGCCAACAAGAACACUAGAGUAUAACUCUAAGUUGUUCAAGGGAUACUCGAAAGCUAUAGAGAAAAUUAUCUCACUUGAUUUAUGAUAAAAGUGUCUUCCCUUUUAUUGAUGUAUUAUGGCCCCUUAUAUAGGGUACAAGUAGUACCUAAUCUGAUAAGGAAAGUAAAGCUAAAGGUACGGCUGGUAUGGGUCCUAACUAGUGAAGGAAACGGAAAUGGAAACGAUGGCCUCAACCCUCAACAGAUAGGGCUUCAUGCGGGCUUUCCUUCCUAGGCAACCCACCUUAACAUAUAGUGAUGAACAAAAUAGCAAUCCUACUCUUGGCGAUUCUAUGUGCAACAUGCACUUAGCCAAUUAUUCAACCUAAUCAAACUAACACGUAAAUAAAUGAAACUAUUGUAAUAGGAAACGAGGUUUGGCAAAACCCUAAACCUCUGGUAUAGCUUCAAUGCUCAAUACCGGACCUCGAUCACCUUCACUGGAGUGUAUGAAUCCCUCAAAGGACUUGUGUAUGGCCUGUACAAGUACAUUGAGUUGCUCACGAAAUCUCUUUGCACGAGCCCUAGUGAUGGGCCCGUUUGGAGCUUGCACGCGGUCCUCGGCCCCUCGAUCACUCGAGCCAUUGUUGGCGUGCCCAUGUACUAUGAUGCUAUCAUUCCCCUCCUCUUGAGAAGGAUUUGCCCUCAAAUCAAAAGCUUCAUCUGCAUCAAAAGAAGCUAGGUCAGAGACAUUAAAUGUAGCACUAACUCCAUACUCACCUGGAAGAUUAAGUUUGUAAGCGUUGUCAUUAAUGCGCUCCAACACUUGAAAAGGUCCAUCACCCCGUGGUUGUAGUUUAUUUCGCCUUUGCAUAGGGAAACGUUCCUUGCGCAUGUGCAACCACACCCAAUCGCCAGGUUCGAAAGUCAGUUUUUGGCGACCUUUGUUAGCUUGCUUGACAUAUUGAGCAGUUCUCCUCUCAAUGUUGGCCCUGACUUUCUCAUGAAGUUGCUUAACAAAAUCUACACGUUUCUUACCAUCCAAGUGUGCGCGCUCAUUACUAGGUAAUGGCACUAGAUCAAGAGGUAUUAGAUGAUUAAAACCAUAAACACAUUCAAAUGGAAAGAAACCAGUAGUAGAAUGGACAGCCCUAUUAUAAGCAAACUCAACAUGAGGUAAACAUUCUUUCCAUGUUUUCAAGUUCUUUUUUAUGAUGGCACGCAACAAGGUACCUAAUGUACGAUUCACCACCUCAGUUUGACCAUCAGUUUGGGGGUGGCUAGCAGUAGAGAAUAGCAAUUUGGUGCCUAACUUAGACCAGAGUGUCUUCCAAAAAUAGUUGAGAAAUUUGACAUCUCUAUCAGGAACAAUGGUCCUAGGAAUGUCAUGCAGUCGCACAAUCUCUUUAAAGAACAAGUGAGCAAUAUGGGAUGCAUCAUCCGUUUUGUGACAAGCAAUGAAGUGUGCCAUCUUAGAGAAUCUAUCAACUACCACAUAAAUGGAGUCAUGGCCAAACUUGGAUCUAGGCAACCCGAGUAUAAAAUCCAUAGAAAUGUCAAUCCAUGGUACUCUAGAAAUAGGUAAUGGGGUGUAAAGGCCAUAAGGGUGUACCUUGGAUUUAACUCUCUUACACGCUAAGCAGCGCUCCACCACCCGUGCAACAUCUCUCCUCAUGUGCAGCCAAUAGAAAUGUUCCUGCAGCAUGGCAAGAGUUUUAUCAACCCCAAAGUGCCCUAUAAGUCCACCCGAAUGGGAUUCCCUUACCAAAAGCUCACGGAUUGAUCCAUGUGGGAUGCAAAGCCGAUUGGCACAGAACAAGUACCCAUCAGAAAUGAAGAACUUAUCUUGCCCGGUGUGUUUGCAAGAAAUGUAUAGCUCAUCGAAGUCACUAUCUUAUGCAUAGAGCUCUUUAAUUAGCUCAAAUCCCAACAACUUAACAUCUAAAGAAGUGAUUAGACAGUACCUUCGUGAGAGUGCAUCCACGAUCACAUUGGACUUACCAGCCUUGUAUUUAAUAACGUACGGAAAUGGCUCCACGAAUGCAAUCCACCUUGCAUGCUUCUUGCUCAAGUUGUGUUGGGCCUUAAGGUACUUAAGGGACUCAUGAUCAGUGUGUAUCACGAAUUCCUUAGGCCUUAAGUAAUGCUACCACACUUGUAGUGCUCGAAUGAGGACAUACAACUCUUUAUCAUAAGUUGAGUAAUUCAGUGCAGCCCAUUGAGUUUCUCACUAAAGUAGGCAAUAGGUUGUUCACCUUGGUUCAACACAGCUCCAACUCCAAUACCUGAAGCAUCACAAUCGAUCUCAAAUGUUUUAGAGAAAUCAGGUAACGCAAGUACAGGUGCGUGUGUGAGUUUGUGCUUUAAAGCGGUAAAAGCCUUUUCUUGAGAAUCUCCCCAGCGAAAAUUCUCAUUCUUCUUGAUCAAUUCGGCCAAGGGUGUAGUAAUGGUGCUAAAGUCCCUCACGAAUCUCCUAUAAAAACCCGCAACUCCAUGGAAACUUCAAACAUCACCCACAGACCUUGGUGUUGGCCACUCUUGAAUAGCUUUCACCUUUUGAUCAUCCACCUUCAUUCCCUGCGCACUUAUAACAAACCCUAGAAACACAAGCUCAUUAGAGCAAAAAUUGCACUUCUUGAGAUUGACAUAAAGCUUCUCUCAUUGAAGUACAUCCAUAACCGCCCUAAUAUGCUCAAGGUGUUCAUCGUAAGACUUGCUAUAUAUUAGGAUAUCAUCAAAGUAAAUUACCACAAAUUUUCCCAAGAAUGGACGUAGCACAUGAUUCAUUAAUCUCAUGAAAGUAUUAGGUGCAUUAGUGAGCCCAAAAGGCAUCACUAACCAUUCAUACAAUCCAUACUUAGUUUCGAAAGUAGUUUUCCAUUCAUCCCCCUCUUUAAUCCUAAGUUGAUGGUACCCACUUUUGACAUCAAUUUUGGUAAAGAACACAGUCCCAUGUAACUCAUCAAGCAUAUAAUCUAAGCGAGGUAUAGGGUGACGAUACUUUACCAUGAUGGCAUUUACAGCUCUACAGUCGGUACACAUCCUUCACGUACCAUCUUUCUUAGGCACUAAAAUGACUGGGACAGCAUACGAGCUCAAACUCUCACGUGCCCAUCCCUUGCCAAGCAACUCAUCCACUUGCCUUUGCAACUCCUUGGUCUUCUCCGGGUUGCUCUUGUAAGUUGGUCGGUUUGGCAAUGAAACUCCAGGGAUGAAAUCAAUUUGAUGCUCAAUGUCUCGGAGUGGGGGCAAUCCACUUGGCACAUCCUCGGGGAAGAUAUCCGCAUACUCCUGCAGAAGAGACACAACCUCAGGAGGUAUGUUAGUAUCAAGUUCAUGCACCUUCAGAGCUACUUCUUUGCUAACAAGCAUAAGAAGCGGCUGCUCAUCUCUCAUUAACUUCCUCACUAUCUUGGCUUUUAUCAGAAGCAUUUGUUUUCUCUCGGAUUUCACCUCACUUGCCAAGCUAUCUAUAGCCUUUUUCAUCUCUUUUUUUGCCCUGGCGCUCACGUUUUCUUUCUUUUUUGCACAAUACUUCUCAUACUGUUGUUGCAAUUUCAAUUGGUUUUCAUGCACUUGUUUUGGGGAAAGGGGAGCUAGGGUGACUUUCUUACUAUUGUACAAGAACCUAUACUUGUUAGUCACACAAUCAAAAGUUACAUGCCUGUCAAACUGCCACGGCCUACCUAGUAUAAUAUGACUAGCUUGCAUAGGAACUAUGUCACAUAAUACAUCAUCAGAAUAUUUAUGAAUUUGGAAGGAUAUAAGAACCUGUUUGGUUACUCGAACCUCCCCAGAAUUGUUGAGCCACUAGAGUUUGUAGGGUCGCGGGUGAUCCCUUGUAGGCAGUUUCAAGUGGUCCACCAUGAGUGAACUAGCUACAUUUGUGCAACUCCUACUAUCAAUAAUCACACUACAAAGUGCUUGGUUGACGAAGCACCUGGUGUAGAAAAUGUUCUCCCGUUGAAGCUUUUCCUCCUUAACACGUGUAGUUAAUGCUCUCCUUGCAACCAAUGCGGUCCCAAAGUGACCUUCGGGUGCAUUAAAUUCCUCUUUAUUUGGUGACUCGCUAUCACUACCUCCUUCAAGUGGUGGCAUGCCAUCGUACUCGGCUUCAUCUUCACUCACGAUCUCGCCAUUUUGCAGCAUAAUCAUAGUCCUUUGGUUGGAGCAUUGACUAGCGAUAUGGCCUCUACCAUGGCAUUUGAAGCAUCGAGUAUCACGAGCUCUAGUUUGUGCCCUAGGCUCCUCAAAUUUCGGAAUAGAAGAGGGUGGUUUUCCGACAUUAGAAUGACCCAUUUACCUCCCUUGAAUCUCGGCUUUGGUGUAGGAGCAUUUGGUGAAGGCCGAGAAUCAUUCCUUGGUUGGAAUGAGCGGUGGGUAGAGUAGGUGGUAUUGCUGAAAUUCGGCCGAGUAGUACCCCUCCUCUUGAGCCUGUGUUCGACCUUAAUGGCCUUGUCAACAAGCUCAUACAAUUCCAUAUAAUGUUGAAGUUCCACUCGUUCAGCAAUAUCGGGUCUUAACCCGUUCAAGAACCUGGCCAUGGUGGCUUCGGGAUCCUCUUGUACAUCUGCUCUAAGCAUCAAGAUCUCCAUCUCCUUAUGGUACUCAUCCACACCCCAGUUGCCUUGGACUAAGGUUUGUAAUCCGUAGUACAAAUCCCUAGUGUAGUGUCCAGGAACAAAUCUGGUGCGCAUCAUGGUUUGAAGUUCGGGCCAUGGAAUGAGCUCGGGUAGCCCGCUUCUCCUUCUUGACUUCUUGAUUUGGUCCCACCAAACCACGGCGUACUCGGUGAAUUCCAUGGUUCCCAAUUGCACCUUUUGCUCCUCGGUGUAGUCUUGGCAAGCAAAGACCAUUUCGAUCUUGGAUAAUCAUUCGAGAAAGGCCUCGGGAUCGGACCGUCCUUUGAAUUCAGGGAUUUUCAUUUUGAUUCCCUUGAACACAUCGGUAGGUCCAGUCUGGUGCCUUUGCCUUGGUCGAGUGCGAGGUUCCUCGUCGUCAUCAUCAUGAUUGGAACCAUCGGACUCCUCCACGUCCCUUCGCCUUCGCGUGGACUUAGAAGUUUUUGGUGUUCUAGAUGCCCGGAAUUGCAGCAACUCAUCUUGAAUUGGUUCUAGCAUGCGUUGGAAAUGCCUCUCCAUUUUCUCCAUCAUCUUGUCAAAGUCCAUAGGGCGGGAUACUCCUUCGUUUCCACUAGACAUGGAGUCUCGAGUGUACCUGCAAGGGUUAGUAGCAAAGAAAAAGGAAAAAGGAAAAGAAGCGUUUGUCUUAUUUUUUUUUCACCUUACUCCCUAAGUGUAUACUCUCACACUCGUAUAUGGUUACUCAGAUCACUCUAAUGAGCCCCUUGCAAAUUUUCUCACAGCCCCUUGCAAAACCUUGAAGAAAUUAGAAUUCCUCAAGUGCUCAAAUUUAGCUUAAAAAAAACAAGUUCAUGCUAGAAUUUGAGGUUCAUAAGAGUGGAGAUUUUCUUGAAAAACAAAAUUAGAACACUAAGAAUGGAGUGGUAGAAUAUAUUCAAGAAUAAGAAUUAGAAAAAGAAUUGACACAGAAGCUCCAAAAAAUUCAGAAUGACACUCAAGGACCCUAACCGACAAGGAAGUUGGUCCUUGUGCCUUGCUAGAUUUCUUGGUCCGUUUAAUUCUUGUUCUAGCCGACUAUAGGUGCUGGAUCCUUUUGUUUUGCAGAGGUGCGGAUAAAGCCUAGGUGCCAAUAUGGGCAAGUGGGGGCUACAAAUCAGGAAGCAAGAAGAAUUUGGAAUCCCUUUGGUUUUAGAGACCAAUCAGGUUUGGAAGUCCUAUAGCGGCUGUUCCCUCUUUCUUUUCUAGAUGUGCAGCCGAGUGGGUUCCUCUUCCCAAGUGUUUUAGGAGUGCACAAAGGCUGGGAUAUUUGGUGAAUUAAAUUCAGCUCUCUCUCUGGCUGUUCAACUCACAAGCGUCAAACACCACAAUCCGGAUGAAGUUGCAAAACCCAGGUGAUACUCAAGUUCCUCCACGGGCUCCCCCCCUUCGCGUUACCCAAAAACCUCCCAAGAAAAGUUCAAGAGCUCCUCGAAGACCCUUUACAGAUGCUCGAGAGUAUUUCAAGUUGUUCAAGAAGCGCAAGGCUCAAGUUUUCAAGGGUCAAGAAUCUCAAGAAACUCAAGAAGUUGUUGAUCAGAAUUUUUGAAUGUAGAAUAGGCUCAAUGUAACCUGCAAGUGAUUCCCAACAACGCUCUAGUUGCUUGUUUGAGUUUCCCAAUUCAAUAAAAGUAUUCAAGCACCCUUUGUUUCGAAAUUUGCUUGCUUUUUUUUUUUUUUACAGCAGCAACUUCGGAUGAACGAAGGCUUGGGUUAUCAAUUUUUUUCCAGGACUGUGUCGAGUUUUGUCCAGGUCUGUUUUGGUGGAUUUUUUUGCAAUUGGGUAGGCUAGGUUUGGUUCACAAAUGGGUCAAGAAUGGCUCCAGGUAUCGACCAGCCUUUAACAAUCAAGAAUUGUAAAUCAAACACAAAAAUAUCCAGCAAAGAACUUCAGGAAGUUCGCUGCAAUUUCUAGAUUUCAGAGUGUCAAGAAUCUCUUCAAGAACUUCAAGAAAUCGUGAAGUUUGCUUACGAAGUUCAAGAACAAGGUACCAAUACUUUCCUAGACAAUGAACAACUAAGACACAGAGCACAAACAAUUAAGAGACAACUCGGUCAGAUUGGUCAGUGCAAGAAAACAAUGUCAAGUGUGGCAAAGACAGCAAUCCGAAUGACUCUAUGUCUUGUUGUACGACUUGGACACAACUUUCAACACCGUUGGACACCUUGGUUUGUUGGACCCAAGCGGUGGAAGUAACGUCAGCAAGACACGACCAGAUUUAACACACAAGACUCAAUAGGAAUUGGCAAUAAUAGGACACGGACAGAUUGCACAAGAUUCAAUAGAAACAGCAAUACGGGCGCGACACUAAGAACACUAGUAGUUUGGUUUUGUUUGUUUUUUUUUUUAGUUAACAAAUGAUGGAAUCACACACCACCAAACCCAAACACAACACACUUGACUCCCAGAAAUUCCAGAAGUCAAAACGACAACAAGACAGACUUAAAAACACGCUGACCAGAAUUGAAAGCAACACGGAAAAACUUGUGGACAGUUUGCAGUUGUGGAAACAGAAUUUUAACUAACGAGAAGGAUAAAACGAUGUUACCAACAAUUUAGCUCUGAUGCCAGCUGAUACGAAUCUCAUUGGUGACGAAGAUUCGCGACCCAAGAUCGCUUGUUGAAUUUGUGAUUGACGACCAAGGAAGGUAGCAGCGAAAACCCUACGACCCCUCUAAUCCCCGUGACUACGAACUUGUUGAUAUUAUCUCAACCCAUAAUCAAACGAAUUAGUGAACCUCAGACAAGUGUAGAAGGCGCCACAACUCAAGUGUGAUAAGCCAACAAGAACACUAGAGUAUAACUCUAAGUUGUUCAAGGGAUGCUCGAAAGUUAUAGAGAAAAUUAUCUCACUUGAUUUAUGAUAAAAGUGUCUUCCCUUUUAUUGAUGUAUUAUGACCCCUUAUAUAGGGUACAAGUAAUACCUAAUCUGAUAAGGAAAGUAAAGCUAAAGGUACGGCUAGUAUGGGCCCUAACUAGUGAAGGAAACGGAAAAGGAAACGACGGCCUCAACCUUCGACGGAUAGGGCUUCAUGCGGGCUUUCCUUCCUAGGCAGCCCACCUUAACAUAUAGUCAUGAACAAAAUAGCAAUCCUACUCUUGGCAAUUCUAUGUGCAACAUGCACUUAGCCAAUUAUUCAACCUAAUCAAACAACACGUAAAUAAAUGAAACUACUAAAAUGGGAAACGAGGUUUGGCAAAACCCUAAACCUGUGGUAUAGCUUCAAUGCUCAAUACCGGACCUCAAUCACCUUCAUUGGAGUGUAUAAAUCCCUCAAAGGACUUGUGUAUGGCCUGUACAAGUACAUUGAGUUGCUCACGAAAUCUCUUUGCACGAGCCCUAGUGAUGGGCCCGUUUGGAGCUUGCACGCGGUCGUCGGCCCCUCGAUCACUUGAGCCAUUGUUGGCAUGCCCACGUAAUAUGAUGCUAUCACUUCAACCCCUAUUCUUAUGGCCUUGGUAAUUGUACUAGAGUUGGCAAUCAUACAAGUAUUUUAAAAGAAUGAUUUGAAAGGUUUCUUGUGAACGUAAUUAGUAACACUCGGAAUGUUUUGGCCGAGCUUCCAAGUAAAAAUGUGUUUAUCUUUUUUAUUUGAAAGCCAAAGUUUCUAUCGCCAUAGUCUCUUGAGUAUACGCCCUCGAUUUAAUCGUUGAAAAUGGAUGUUGAGUGAGACUUUAAUUAAAAGAGAACUUGAGAAUUUUACUUGAUUUAUGGGUACAACUUGAAUUGGUGACUAAAGAAGUUAGUGGGCCGUUAGUGGCGGUUUUACUAGACUUUAACUAAAUGAGUUUGAAAAAUGAGAAAAGCUCACUUAUACUUGAAACUUGGGUGUUCAACUAGGGAAUUUUGACAAGAAACUAAUCCUCCGUCUUUCUUGGUUUUCGUGCCAAAACUUAGAGAUCUGUUUAAUCUUCAACUUGGAGAAUUUUGGACAUGACUUGACUUGGAUUAAUAUAUUUUUGGAUAUUUUCAAAUGCUACCCUCGUGGAUUAAGUUAUUAAGUGAUAUUUGUAUUCGAUUUGAACGCGUUAUCUCUUAAGUGAGAGUAGCGGGAAUACUACUAGACCUUGGUUGAAUACCUAGGUGAAUUGUAAUUGUACAUGUCUCAGGUGAUCAAGAGGAUCCCGAGGAACUCGUUUGAUCUUGCCUCGCUCUUGUUUUACACUCUUGAUUCCAGUGAGUGCUCCUUAUAGGUGUACGUGAUUUGAAUAGUUUUGCUACAUGUUUACUUCAUAGUUAUUGUGUACUUAAGUGUUAAGUGUACCCUAUAAUUGCUCUUAUGUAACUGUCCACCGUUUUAAGGCGAGUGUGUACUUUAUCUCAUUCGACCUACUAAAAUGACAAAUUUCUAUCGUUUAACCGUAAAUUUCUACUGUUAACCGUGAACUACUAUCGUUUACCGAUUUACUUGAUUACUUACGCAUGUUGUAAGCUCUAAGUUGAACUGGAUCUUGCCCUUGGUUACUAACCUGCUCAAGUCAGGACUGGGCUCGGUCGGGUAGGUUGGAACCCUGGGCCACCGUUUCGGUAUACUUGAGUAUUACCACUGGAGGGAUAAGGUGAUAGCCAGACAAAUCAAGGGGAUCACUGGAGUUAUAAGGUGAAGUGGACUAAAAUUGUUCCAAGUGAACACCGUAUCCUUUCAAUGUGUGUUUAUUUCUAUACAAUGAUAACUGUUUCAUUCUAAUGUGCCAAUGUGAAACCUUGAACCAUACAUGUGUUAUGCUCAAUUUACUUGAUUUAUUAGAACUGCUAGUGUAGUUUGGAACCUCACUGGGCUGUUUAACUCAUUUCACGCUUUUGUUUUCCUUAACAGGGUUCAAAAUCGAGAGUACUCGCUAAUAGUACUAAGUUGUUCUCUUGGAAAUUUUAAGUUGUAUUAUGGCAGAUGACUGUAGUACAUAUUGUGAGGAUCCGAAAAUUUUCUUAUUUUCGUCAUAUAUUACUGAUUUAUUUAAAUAGUUAUUCACUCAUUUUCUCCGAAUUAUUUAAUUCGACUACUUAAAAUCCAUUUAUAUGGAAAAAAUGCCUCUCUUAUGUUUUUAAAGCGUUUUGUUAGAAAAUUUAUUUUUCGAAAACUCGUUUAGUUCGGAACAACGAGUGCACGUUUCUCGAGACUAUAUUUGAAUCGAGAGUGUAUUAAUUUUGGAGAAGUAAGAAUGAUCAAUAGUAGAUUAAGAAAAAUUAAUUGGAGAUUUGAGGAAUUAAAACUCGACUUAUGUGAGGACUCGCAAAAUUUUCUAUUUUAAACCCUUAUUACUAGCUUAUUUCAAUCUUUAAUUGCCCGUUUGCCUCGAAUAUUUUAUUUCAACCUCUUUAUACUCAAUUACAUGGAACUAUGACUUAGUUAUAUUUUUAAAGUAACUCGUUUCAAAAUUUAAUUUUUGGAAGCUCAUUAAUUGAAAAUAGUGAAUACGCGAUUGGAGUCAAUAAUCGAUUCGUGUAUACAAUAAACUUGGAAAAUUAGAGACUUGCAGCAUGGGCUAAAGAUAGGUAUUUUAAGUUUAAAUACUCAAGUGAUAGUUAUUAGUACUAUCGUUAUAAGAAUUUCUUGGAAGUUUCGCUUUAUCGCGCUUAAUUUGGAGAUACGUGUUUUUAUACGCGCGAUUUAAUUGAGGGACUUUAGACCCUUAUUUUGGGACAAUUAAGAGUGAAUAAUAUUAAUAUGUAUAUGAGUGCAUUAAAGGUUUAGUGCACUAGUGAAAUAAACUCGAGAGGAAUCGAGCACAAAACGCGCGCGUAUACGCGCGAAGAAGAGUUGACUUUUGCACCAACUUGGGCCACACAUUAAAGGUUCUUAAGAAAGCUUUAUUUGAUCAACACACACUCUCUCUCCUAGUCUCUCUUGGCCGGCCAUCAAGCAGCAAAAAUAACCCAUUUGCUCUUCAACUUUCUACUCCAAAUUCUUGCACCAAAUCUCAACCAAAUCAAACCAAAAUUGAACUACACUUAGCCUAAUACUUGGAGAUUGUAUCUAGCUAAAAAGGGGGAGCUUUUCACGGUUUAUUUUGAAGCAAGGAGGGCCAAAAUUUCUUCUCUUGUGCACCAAGUGGAAUAGGUAACGAUCAACUCUCAAAUUCUUGUUUUAUGGAAGUAGUAAUGCACAUCUAAGCUAUUGUAUGCAUGUGGGCAGUCUUGUUUAUGGUGGAUUCUUGUUGUGUGGGCUCUAUGAACUCCCACUUUUGAUGGAAAGACUGAUUUAAUGAUUGAUGAUGAAAUUAAUGGUGGUUUAGUGCUUAAAUUAGUGGAUUAAUGUUGUAUUGUUGGUAGAAAAUCAAAGGAGGUGCUUGGAGCAAAAGUGACCGUUUUACCCCUGCCUUGUUCGACCACUUUUGUGCAAAAUUUUGAGGUUCUAAUGGCUUUUUUAUGUUGUUUACAUGUUAUAUAGAGUGUGUAAAAAGUUUCAUUGAAAAAUAACUUGAUUUGGUCACCCAAAUGUUGGAUUUACGAAAGCUUAGAAAUCUGGAAACUAUUCCCGUAUUCAUCCAGGCAGUGUUUUUGUUUCCGCUAUAACUCAUCGCUCCGAUGUCGGAAUCAAGUGUCGUUUGCGGCACUGGAAACUAGACAUUCCCAGAUUUCAUUUGGUAUAAAAUUCACGUUCUGGUUCCACUCGAGUGAGCCAAACCAUUCGUUUGAAAAUUUCUGUCCUGUUUCGUUUGUCACUGGGAGGCAGAUUAUGAACUGCGAUUUGAUGCUCACGUAUGAGCUGGUUAUGGACAGAUUUUGAAAAUGGUUUCUUCUGAAAGAAUGUAGCCUUAUGAAUCUAUCUUCCAAUGCCACCAACCACGCUCAAUUCCGAGUUGAAUUGAGUGAUUUAUGAUCAAAAUUCGAAACUGGUUUUGUGAAGGAAAACCAUGCAUUUGGACAGAUUUGAAACUAGCGAUGCUUUGGGACUUGUUAUCGGAAACUUCUUGGUGUAAAUCCCCUAUCAAAUGUACCUUGGGCAUAUUUUAGACAUUAUCUACUGGAAUGGACCAUAUUUGAGAUGUUUCUUGGCCGACUGUUUGAAAACGGCAAAACGAAAGUUCAAAGGCAGCUUAGCCUUAGAACUUCUUGUGAUUUCAACGGUCUCGUUAACUGAUUUUCCGUACAUAUUUUUCUAUGAAAUUUGGCAAGGGAGUGGCCAUUAUAUGGUAGUAUAUUCAUCCUAAAUUUGGUGCCAUUUCGAGUCCAUUUCGUUGCUCAACUAAACUUCCAAAGUUCAUGAUUUGAGUUGAAAAUUUUAGUAACUUUGAGUUACCAUAUCUUGGUGCUCAAAACUCCGAAUCUUGUUCCGUUUGUUUUGUUUUAAACUUGGAUUGAAACUCUAAUAGUGCUCCAAAUUUCAGAGGUUAGUUCGGAUCAAGUGAAUUUUGUCAAAUUUUCAAAGUUGGCCAAACACCAACCUAAAUCUGUCUUUAAUGCCCCAGAACAGCAAUUUUGAGCUAAAUUUUGGAUAUCUUCCGUUUGGAAUCAUGGAAAAUUGUCUUCUAAGAACUUUUAGUACUUUUUAAGAGGUUUCCAACGGUACCAAGUUUUCCAAUUCUGGACUUAUAGAGAAUGAGAUACGUUUUUUCAAAGUAUGGGUGACAAAUCUGAUAUUUUUGAACUUAAAGGAAAUUGAGGGUUACGAACUCUCUAUUUUCCUUCAAUAUUGCUAAACCGUUUUACACUUGAUUUCAAAAUGAAAAUCAGAUUUCACUUGUGUUUUAAAACCCCAUUUUUGAGUCUCGAUUUACGAGUAAUUAAGGCUCAUUUUCGUGAAAUUUUCUUAGAUUGUACAAGUGUGCAAUCUUCCUUGAUAAUUAGGGGUUUUAAGCGAUAGUGUGUAAUAGACAAUUACUAUUUGCUCAGUUGCUCAAGGAGACCUUCAAGAGGAUCUCGAGGGGAACACCUAAAGGCUCGUCUAUGCACUUACUCCCUUGUUUCGAUUGGUGAGUGUCAAGUGCAUGAAUUUGUUGCUAAGUGAUUAACUGUUUCUUAUCCGUUAUAUGAAUUUGAACUUUGUGAGACGAAUGUGUACUUUCCCGCACUCGUUCUCCUUCAAAUGAAAUUAUAUUCGUAUUUGGCUAUGUGAAUUCAUAUUCGACUUGUACUUAGUAAUGUGGAUAUGAUUCGUAUUUGUGAUUCGUAUAUGUGAUUCGUAUUUGUGAUUGCUAUUUGGAAUCGUCGAUUUGAGUGUUGCUCAUCGACUUAUAUUCGCAUUCGUAUUCGUAUUCGGGGGACGCCCAAACUCGUUGGCUAAUUUUGCAAAUCGAGCCAGCAUGGGUUUGGUCAAUAAGCUUAGCAAACCAUGAGAUAUUCGUAGAGCAUGAUCUAUUGGAGAGAUCUUGCUCGGCAUUACUCGUGCAGUAUUGUCAUGAUAUACUCGAGUAUUAUCAAAAAAUUUGAUGAGCGGGUCCGGUAAGGGGGUGUAACGGUGAUGGGAUUCGAAGAAAAGUGGUGUAUCUACGGAUUUGAUACUUAUGUGGUUGACGAAGUGUCAACAUGAAUUGUGAUCAAGACUUUGACUCGACUACGUGGAAUUUAACUCCUGAGAGCUACAGUAUCCUUGAACUGUUUCUGUUUAUUUUUCCUAUUCGAAAUGUGAAUUAUUCGAACUUGAUAGCUUUACUUACAAUGUAAUUGUUGUUACUUCUUGGAUUAUGUGUUUGCAUGUGUGUUUCUUGGCCUCACUGAGUAUUGGCUCAUCCCAUUAGUUUGUUUUCCUUAACAGGAACUCGUUUGGAAGGAGUUAAGCAAAUGCUGACUUGAGGCACUUUUGUAUUAGUGUUUUAAUUGUAAUCGACUAGACACUUUUGAAUGUUGUAUAUAUUUGGGAAUUGAUGUAUCUUUUGGAUCCUGAUGUAGGAAUUGGGUAACUGAUGUAUUUUGAACUCGUGGUGCAAGACUUGGAUAUUCGAUUAUAGAAGCGACUUUUCCUUAUUAGACUAGUAUAAAUUGUUAUAUAUUGUUAAGUUUGAAUCGAUUUGUCUCGAGUCAUGGCGAGAGCUGGGCAGGCGUUCCCCGGAUACCCUUGGAUUCGCCCUUGGGAGAAGUGGGGGCGUCACACAUAUUCUUUUGGAUUGUAUUUAACCUUGAAAAUUGAGGUAAUUUUGAUAACUUGUGAUGUAAGAUUUGAAAGUUUAUUUAAGGGAGAGAUUUUUCUUAAUUUGAAUUUUAUUAUAGGUUGUGUACUUUUGUCACGCCCCGAGCCCGCACGUGCCCGUCACAUGACACCCGCCGUACUCCCAAGUCCCACUCAAGAAUACCAAGCUACAUUAACUAAUUUAACUUUGACAGUACUAAACAAUUUAACUAAAUAAAGUGCGGUACGAAUUACAUAUAAAAGGACAUCUACGAAUAAUCAAGACGUUCGUAUAUUUAUUCUCCGAUUGAAACAGCGGAAACAAAGGUGAAUAAAACCAACAACUGGACGUAGCCAGCCUGCCAACUUCUAUUCAUCUAAAACUAAUAACAGUCAUCCUCAGGGUCUUCUACGUAAACCAAUUCAUAUUCUUCAGAAUCUGUAAAAAUGGUAAGAAGUGGGUUGAGCGACACAUCGCUCAGUAGGUAAUAUUUACCCCUUUGUUGGACCAUGCACUCUUAGUUUUAUAGAUACAUAUACAAAUAUAAGUAUAACUCAAAUCGUUUGCAUAUCAUUCACAUCCGUAAUUUUGAAAGUAACGUCAUUUGUAAAGCAUCCAGCAGUAAAUAAGGACAAGCAAUUGAAAAGCAUCUUAUUGAUAGUUGUACAUAAGAAAUUGUAAAGUCAUAAAUCAUUUCGUCUCAAGUCACAAAUCUCUUCAUAUCCAUUCGUAAAUCAACUCAUAUCAGUUCAUAAGUCUCAUUUCAAAUCAGUUCAUAAAUCAUUCCAUCAGAUCAGCUCAUAACAAGUACAUGCAAUGACCGGCUACUGAGUACUCAGCCUAGAGAUUAGACCCCUUCUAGGUGGGCAACCAAUAGAUUUCAUGACUAUCGAUUGAUCUCAUUUCAUUCUUGGGUCAAUCGGCCGGACUUUAUACCAGGCUACCAUGACCUUGUCAAUCGGUUGGGGUUUAUACCAGGCUACCAUGACUUUAUCAAUCGGUCAAUCGGCUGGGCUCUAUACCAGGCUACCAUGACCUCGUCAAUCGGCUGGGCUUUAUACCAGGCUACCAUGGCGGUUAGACAGGACUAUAGCCCCUACCGUCUAUUCCAUGACUGCUCUGAGCUUUACUUGUCAAAAUUCAUUUCAUAUACCGUAUACAUAACUCUUUGCUUUCAUAAAAGAUUCAGCUCAUUUUGUAUAUAAGAACAUAUCCAAACAUUUCAAAUAAGUCACAUGGUCCAUUUUUGUAUAGUAAAAUAUAACUUUCAUAAAUAUCCAAGUAAAGCAUUUAAUCGAACACCUUUCGAGUCAACUCAACAAAAUCGGAUUGGAAACAAAAAUUUUGUUUUGCACAUUUGAAAUCUCAUAAGGGUAAGUACCACCUACCUUUGUCUGGCUGCUCGAGUGGAACUACCUUAAAUCUUUUAAACUGGUACCGUACCUACCAAAUGCAUAGGUUUCCUAAUUAGUUGUUACUUCCUAUAAAUGCAUAAAUAUACCAACUCCGAGUAAGUCGAAGAUUCAUGUCUAGACCAUUAUAUGAACCCUAAUAGCAUUUUCCUUAAAUUGGAUGAUUUCUAUGUUUGGAAAGUUUCUAUUUUAGAAAGUUUCUUACUUUGGAAAGUGUUCAUUUGUAAAGUUUCGUAAUUUAAAAGAAAAUAAUUAUUCGUAAUCAUGUUUAUUAUCCUGACUACUAUCUCACUAUGUUUAUUUAUAAUUUAUAAUUAUUCAUUAUUAUUAUCGUCCUCAUCGUCGCUAUUUUAUUUUAUUGCCUUUUAUAUAUAUAUAUAUUUGUUAACUAGUUACUAUUAUCUUUCGCUUUACUUCCACUGUUGUGCAUGUGUAGAUGUUAUUACUAUUUAUGUAUACAUGUAUAUAUAUAUGUAUUGACUUAUUAUUAUAAUUACUAUCUUAGUUUAUUCCAUUUGUAUUUAUAUUUUUCUUUCAUUUUUUAAUCCUUUAAUUUGUUUCAUUUACAUUUAUGUUGUUAUUAUUAUUGUUAUUAUUUUAAGCAUCUAAAAGAAAGUUGAGACUUGUCUUAAAUUGUGUAACUUAAUCUACUACUGAUGGAUUAAAAUGCCUUAAACUUCUACUUAAAUAUUUCUGGCCUAAUUAAUUAAUCUCGAAUGACCAAAUCUUUAAAAUCCACACUUAACUUAGAUUGGGCCUUGAAAUUUAGUUCCUAGAUUAGUUCAUAAAAGGUGGCUAGUUUUAUCUAACAGUCCACUAUUGGCCAAUCAUUAAACAUAUACUGUGUAUGUAGACACCAAAUUUUUGGUGUUUUAUUAUUUAUUUAUUUAUUUACUAUUCGUUUUUAUUUGUUCUAUUUUUAUUUGUAUUUACUUUUAGUUUUAGUUAUUUUAUCCAUUUUUAGCUAGAAUUUCUCAAAGGGAAAAGAAAAGUGUUCAAAAAAAUAUGUUUUAGUUGUUUAGGAUUUAGUUUCAUUAUUUAAAGGAAAAAGGAAAAAUGGAAAAUGAAAAGAUGAUGAAUUGGAAUUUGCACUUUCUUGUUUCUAGUUUAUUUUUCAUCCAAUGUUAAUUAAAUUGUUUUUGUUAUUUGUUUUUACUAUUAUCAAUGUUAAUUAUUUAAAAAAAAAAAGGGGAAUACGCGAUGGCAAGCUGCGUUUUUACGCAGCUUGCAAGUAAGGGCUCGGGCAGCCCUUGGCUGCAAUUUUAGAGGAGACAAUGGGAGUUUUAGGGUUGGGGUGGCCCCAUAUAAAUAGAAGAUGCAGCAGCAGCCGCAAGAGGAGAGAGGGCAUCGAGCAAAAGAAGGAAAAAAAAAGAAGAAAAAACAAAGGAGGAGUUUUUCGGUGAGCUUCAUCGUGGGGAGAGCAUCGACAGGCUAAAAGAAAAACUGAGCGAGGGUUUUGGAGUGAGAGAGGUCGGCGGCUGUCUAGCAUAAGAGAGUUUUAACGGCAAGAAGAGAAACGGAAAAACAGCAGAGGAGAAAAGAAUAGAGGGACCGAGAGCUGAGAGUUUUGUCUGAGAGAUUGAGGGAUCGACGGAGAGGUUUUGGGGGAGAGCAUUAACGGGCAAAAGAGAAAAGAAAGAAACGAAAGGCCGAGGAGGAGAGCUUAGGGCUGGGGCUGUAAGAAUCUGGGCAGAGGGUUAGGAAAACAAAGGAGGGCAGCGGCUGGUUUUGAGAGAAAGGGGAGCUCGGUUUGAGUGAGAGAUAGAGUAGGGGGUGCGGGGAGAGGCUAAACAAAAACAGAAAGGGAAGGAAGAGGGAAGCGGCGGCUGGACAAGAAGAAACGUUGCUGUGUUCCAGAAUUUUCUUCACCAGAAAUCUGUGGCGUUGAGUCGACGUCCUCACGCAAUUUCUUCGUUUCUGCUUUGUUCACGGGAUCCCGUAAGGUGCUAAAGGUAAUCCCUUUACUUCAUAUCUUCAAGCAAGCCCAGUAGAUUCGAGGUUUAUGUAGGUUUGGAAUUAGUUUUCGACUCAUUCUUGCCACUUAUUCUUGCCGUUUCUGUUUGUUUCUAUUGGCAUGUCCUUCCAUUCCUAUCUUCUGCGUGACCUUAAAUGGUUUGUCUCCUGCAUUUUUGUGUUGUGUUUGGGAGUUUAAUGGAUUUGGAUGACUAGUUUCUGACUUGGUUCGAAGGACCGAGAGAAUGAAGUGGUUGCUUCAUGGUCCGAGAAUGAAAUUUUUGGUGUCGUCUUUGCUGCGUUUUUUUGGUUUCUUCACUGCUAAAACAGAUAUCUGGAAAAUGUGUGUGCAUUUGCUGAAUAAAUGGUUGGGAUUAAUCAAAUGUUUUGGCAUUUUAACAUACAUGAGCUCGUCGCUGCAAGAUUCUGCAACAAAGGCAAAAGGAAAUUGCAUUUUUCUGUUCUGUUUUGCUGUCUCGUGGUUGCUCCCCAGGUCUUUGCACCUAAGUUGCAUGUUUAAUUUGUGUUAAGGACAAGGAAUGGAAUAAUUCAGUGCUGGGUUGGGAUGUUUGAAGUCUCAAAAACACUUGCAUCAUAUCCAAUGUUUGCUGAAAAAUGGGUUUCAGCUUUGGCUAAACCAUUUUGCAUGGAAGUUUUGGUCCAGAGUUAGGCGUCAAUUCCUUUUUAUGUUUCUUGCUUAUUUGGAUGUCCAGCCAUGUUUUGAUGGGAGUAACUUUAAAAUUGUUGUGCGCGUCUGUUUUGCUGAAAUUGCAGACUGUUGUACAUGAAAAUUAGGCUGCGGAACCGUGCUGAAGGCCUCAUCAAUAGCCGAAGCCUUCAGCCGCAGCAAGCUGUUUCUUUUUCUUUUCUUUUGCCGUUUGGUUUCCUCCCACCUUUGAUGAUCGGUUCCCGUUUUUGAUUCAGUUAUGUAGUGAAGUUACAUGGUUAGUGGAUGAUGGAUAGGCAGGAUCUUGGUGUUGGAUAAAAUCUGUUUUGCAUGAUGAAAGGAAAAGCCACGGCUGGAAAAGAGAAUUGCAGAAAGUGUUCAUUGCAGAAAAAUUUUGUUUCCUCGUAUGCAUGCAUGAAAAAAUUCUGAGUUUUUGCAUUUUGACCUCCCAAGUUCCCUUUUGCUUCACUAUGGCCCAAUCAAUUGAAUAAUCUCAUCAAUUUGAUCCUUAGUAGUUUUAAUUCUUGCAAUUUCAUCACUUGCUUUGCUUCAAUUAACUACCAUGCUUUGUCAAUUGCACUUAAGUCACGACUUUGGGGCUUUAUGACUAAGUGAGCCUUGUUUUGCCCAUUUCUUUUAAUUUUUCUUAAAUAAAGUGGUGCCUUGACCUUUUUAUUAUUUUGGAGGGUAAUUGAAUAAUUUCACUUCAUUGGGGCGUCAAUUCAAGGGAGGUACACUCUAUCCCUCAUUUGCACUACAUUUGACCUUACGUGCUCCUACGUGUUAUGUGAAUAUGCAUGCCUACUUCGCUUUCCUUAUCUCCUUGCAUGCAUUUACUUGUUUUUUUACUUUUAUUUAAGUUUUAUGGGGUAUGUGUACACCUCUUGGCUUGUAAUAGAUAGGGCUCGGAGAGCAUCUGGUCCAUUUUCCCUUCCCCUUUAUGCUUUCAUGGGGUAUGUGUACACCUCUUGGCUUGUAAUAGAUAGGGCUCGGAGAGCAUCUGGUCCAUUUCUCCUUCCCCUUGGUUGCUUGCUUUUGUUGUUACAUGUUAAAUUGCUUUAGUAGGCUCUUGCAUCUAGUCGAGCAUGCUAAGUGCUACGUGCUACGUGUUUACGAGCGUUUUGGCAUGUCUACUUGCUUUCAUAACCAUGAAUGAAUGGAAUGGAUGAAUGUACGUCACCACACUAGUCCAAUGCUAGUUGUGGCUCAUUAGGCCAUCCCUUUUUGUUAGUGCAUAUUUGCAUGUUCACUACAUGUCAUGCAUUUUUCUUAGUUUUAUCAUUUGGCAUGCUCCUCGAGCCCCUUUUCCCUCAUUUUAGGAUUCUUUGCAUCUCAUGCUAGUUAGGGUACAUUUGCCUGAAGAGUCCCCUUAAAUAUGGGAUAUAGACGAGUGUGGCUUUUUCUAAAGCCUUAGCACGCUUGUAUCCUCUCUAUAAAAGGGCAAAUUGAGUCACAAUUUAGGUCUCCCCGUAC
rnacentral:lncRNA from 1 species